rnacentral:rRNA from 1 species
CGGGGGGAGCAAGCGUUGUUCGGAUUUACUGGGCGUAAAGGGCGCGUAGGCGGCGCAACAAGUCACUUGUGAAAUCUCCGGGCUUAACCCGGAGCGGCCAAGUGAUACUGUCGUGCUAGAGUGCGGAAGGGGCUACUGGAAUUCUCGGUGUAGCGGUGAAAUGCGUAGAUAUCGAGAGGAACACCUGCGGCGAAGGCGGGUAGCUGGGCCGACACUGACGCUGAUGCGCGAAAGCCAGGGGAGCGAACGGGAUUAGAUACCCCGGUAGUCCUGGCCUUAAACGAUGGAUACUUGGUGUCCGGGGUUACAUAGUCCCCGGGUGCCGGCGCUAACGCAUUAAGUAUCCCGCCUGGGGAGUACGGUCGCAAGACUG